rnacentral:rRNA from 1 species
AUCACGUAUUGUUUAUUUGAUGGUCAUUGCUACAUGCAUAACCGUAGUAAUUCUAAAGCUAAUAGUGGCCUAAAGCCCUGAAUUCUGGAAAGGGUGUAUUUAUAACCUGGAAACCAAUGAAUUCCCAACCCGGAAACAGGUGAUUCAUAAUACUUUUCGGAUCGAUAGUAGGAUUAUGCAUCAUUCAAGUUUCUGCCCAAUCAGCUUUGGAUGGUAGGGUAUUGGCCUACCAUGCGUGCGGCGGGUAACGGAGAAUUAGGGUUCGAUUCCGGAUAGGGACCCUGAUCCUUGGAUACCACAUCCAAGGACCGCCUCAGACGCACAAAUUACCGCUUCCUGAUACAGGGACGAAUUGACAAUAAAUAACAAUGUCGGGCUUUUGAAGUCUGAGAUUGGAAUGACAACAAUUUAAACCCUUAUCGAGGAUCAAUUGGAGGGCCAGUCUGGAGCCCUCAACCUGGCUAUCUCCAGCUCCUCUGGCGUAGACAAAUUUUGUUGCGUUUAAUCAGCUCAUACCUGAAUUUCUGGUCUCGAUACUGCCCCUCCCUCAAUGUCCUAUGCUGUGGAUCGUGACCCUCCUCUCCGAGAACAUAUCUGUCAUUUUGAUGAUGCAUAUGGUGCCCUCGUCAUUUACUGUGAGCACCAUAGAUCGUUCAUAGCCAGCUUACACCGUUGAAUACAUUAUCAUGUCUUAUCAUCAUCGAUCCCCGGUCUAUCUUGUUGGAUUUACUCCGAGGUA